GAGUACGAUCGCAAGGUUGAAACUCAAAGGAAUUGACGGGGGCCCGCACAAGCGGAAGAACAUGUGGUUUAAUUCGAUGAUACGCGAGGAACCUUACCUGGGCUUAAAUGUAGAGUGCAUGAAUCGGAAACGGUUCUUUCCUUCGGGACUCUUUACAAGGUGCUGCAUGGUUGUCGUCAGCUCGUGCCGUGAGGUGUCGGGUUAAGUCCCAUAACGAGCGCAACCCUUACCGUUAGUUGCCAUCAGGUAAAGCUGGGGACUCUGGCGGGACUGCCACCGUAAGGUGAGAGGAAGGUGGGGAUGACGUCAAAUCAGCACGGCCCUUAUGUCCAGGGCUACACACGUGUUACAAUGGCCGGUACAGAGGGCAGCUACUCCGCGAGGGGAUGCUAAUCUUAAAAGCCGGUCUCAGUUCGGAUUGGAGUCUGCAACCCGACUCCAUGAAGUUGGAUUCGCUAGUAAUCGCGCAUCAGCCAUGGCGCGGUGAAUACGUUCCCGGGCCUUGUACACACCGCCCGUCAAACCAUGGGAGCUGGGGGUGCCUGAAGACUGUGACCGAGAGGAGCGGCCUAGGGUAAAACCAGUGACUGGGGUUAAGUCGUAACAAGGUAACCAAGGGCGAA
rnacentral:rRNA from 1 species